CCUACGGGAGGCUGCAGUCGAGAAUCAUUCACAAUGGGGGAAACUCUGAUGGUGCGACGCCGCGUGGGGGAAUGAAGGUCUUCGGAUUGUAAACCCCUGUCAUGCGGGAGCAAAUCAAAAAGAUAGUACUACAAGAGGAAGAGACGGCUAACUCUGUGCCAGAAGCUGCGGUAAUACAGAGGUCUCAAGCGUUGUUCGGAAUCACUGGGCGUAAAGCGUGCGUAGGCUGUUUCGUAAGUCGUGUGUGAAAGGGGCGGGCUCAACCCGCGGAAGGCACAUAAUACUGCGAGACUAGAGUGAUGGAGGGGGAACCGGAAUGCUCGGUGUAGCAGUGAAAUGCGUAGAGAUCGAGAGGAACACUCGUGGCGAAGGCGGGUUCCUGGACAUUAACUGACGCUGAGGCACGAAGGCCAGGGGAGCGAAAGGGAUUAGAUACCCUGGUAGUC
rnacentral:rRNA from 1 species